rnacentral:rRNA from 1 species
CCUACGGGAGGCAGCAGUGGGGAAUAUUGGGCAAUGGAGGCAACUCUGACCCAGCAACGCCGCGUGAAUGAUGAAGGUCUUCGGAUUGUAAAGUUCUGUGAUGGGGGAUGAACACAAUGACGGUACCCCAAUAGCCAGCCACGGCUAACUACGUGCCAGCAGCCGCGGUAAUCCGGAGGUGGCAAGCGUUAUCCGGAAUUACUGGGUGUAAAGGGAGCGUAGACGGCUGUGCAAGUCUGGAGUGAAAGGCGGGGGACCAACCCCCGGACUGCUCUGGAAACUGUAUGGCUGGAGUGCAGGAGAGGUAAGCGGAAUUCGAAGUGUAGCGGUGAAAUGCGUAGAUAUUAGGAGGAACACCAGUGGCGAAGGCGGCUUACUGGAGUGUAACUGACGUUGAGGCUCGAAAGCGUGGGGAGCAAACAGGAUUAGAUACCCCAGUAGUC